rnacentral:rRNA from 1 species
GAUGAACGCUGGCGGCGUGCCUAAUACAUGCAAGUCGAGCGAACAGACGAGGAGCUUGCUCCUCUGACGUUAGCGGCGGACGGGUGAGUAACACGUGGAUAACCUACCUAUAAGACUGGGAUAACUUCGGGAAACCGGAGCUAAUACCGGAUAACAUGUUGAACCGCAUGGUUCAACAGUGAAAGACGGUUUUGCUGUCACUUAUAGAUGGAUCCGCGUCGCAUUAGCUAGUUGGUAAGGUAACGGCUUACCAAGGCAACGAUGCGUAGCCGACCUGAGAGGGUGAUCGGCCACACUGGAACUGAGACACGGUCCAGACUCCUACGGGAGGCAGCAGUAGGGAAUCUUCCGCAAUGGGCGAAAGCCUGACGGAGCAACGCCGCGUGAGUGAAGAAGGUCUUCGGAUCGUAAAACUCUGUUAUUAGGGAAGAACAAAUGUGUAAGUAACUAUGCACGUCUCGACGGUACCUAAUCAGAAAGCCACGGCUAACUACGUG